CGCAGAGCGGAACUUCAAAGCCUGUCUCAGUUCGGAUUGGAGUCUGCAACCCGACCUCCAUGAAGCUGGAUUCGCUAGUAAUCGCGCAUCAGCCACGGCGCGGUGAAUACGUUCCCGGGCCUUGUACACACCGCCCGUCAAGCCAUGGAAGCCGGGAGUGCCUGAAGUGCGCAACCGCAAGGAGCGCCCUAAGGUAAAACCGGUGACUGGGGCUAAGUCGUAACAAGGUACC
rnacentral:rRNA from 1 species